rnacentral:rRNA from 1 species
GGUAGUCCACGCGGUAAACGAUGUCUACUUGGAGGUUGUGGCCUUGAGCCGUGGCUUUCGGAGCUAACGCGUUAAGUAGACCGCCUGGGGAGUACGGUCGGCAAGAUUAAAACUCAAAUGAAUUGACGGGGGCCCGCACAAGCGGUGGAGCAUGUGGUUUAAUUCGAUGCAACGCGAAGAACCUUACCUACUCUUGACAUCCAGAGAAGCCAGCGGAGACGCAGGUGUGCCUUCGGGANCUCUGAGACAGGUGCUGCAUGGCUGUCGUCAGCUCGUGUUGUGAAAUGUUGGGUUAAGUCCCGCAACGAGCGCAACCCUUAUCCUUGUUUGCCAGCGAGUAAUGUCGGGAACUCCAGGGAGACUGCCGGUGAUAAACCGGAGGAAGGUGGGGACGACGUCAAGUCAUCAUGGCCCUUACGAGUAGGGCUACACACGUGCUACAAUGGCGCAUACAGAGGGCAGCAAGCUAGCGAUAGUGAGC